ensembl:lncRNA
UAUGAGACAGUAUUCCACGUUUUAUUUUUUUUGGAUAUUACCAUAGCUAUAUGUAACGUCUGACAACAGGUAUCAACUACAGAAUAAUACACUGAAUAUUUCUGUCAGUUCCAGCCCAUCUUUAUUCCCUCCUCCUUCUUCUUCUGUUGCUUUUUGGUCCAGUAACUUUCCUGCUCCUGAUUCUCUCUUCGCUCGGUGUCUUUGAAUGUCAAACAUUAAACACAUGCACGUCAUUCACCUGGAUACAGCUGAGUAAGACAACAGUCAAAGAGACCUGACAGUAUGAAUAGAAUCGUGUUUUUUUUCUCACACAGCUUUAUUUUAGCUGAGACACCCAUACAGUAUUACUACAGUAAUUAUCAUAAGGCUAGAUUAUUGUACAGCUAUGCACCAAAAGGUUCACUCUGCUGUUCUAGAUGGAGAGAAAGAGCACCAUAUUUACAAAUCUAUUUACAUUUGGUUUUUUUAAAAAAAAAAAAUCUCAGACAACAACUAAAGAGAAAAAAAAUAUUUAAAAGGUUCCUUUUUUCCUUUUGAAUCUAAAGCAGCUGCUGUGAGGCUGCACAAGUCUGGAAUUUAAAAAUGAAACUAAUGAAAAGUGUUUCUGUACAGAUAGCUGCAACACACGGUAUAGCUUAUUGCCAAUGCCCUUAAAGAAUUUCCCCAUUCCCCCUCUUCCUCUCUCUCAAUUGUUCAUCUCUUUUCCAGCUCAUGUUAAAGCUGGAAGUCAGAAACAUUUCUCACUGUGUGAAAGAGUUCCUACUGGAGCACAUUCCUCACCAAAUGACACUUCAUGCAGACCCCUCAGUAAAAAAAAAAACGAAACAAAAGAACAUUUUCAAACAGCAGAUCGCUCAAAAUAAUGUACAAGUUUUAAAAAAUAAACUUUGACUUUUCAUCACACUGUAUGUACAUACUCUACUAACGCUGCACCCUCAUGUACAGUAAGCUUUGGGGAACCCCGGAUAUCGGUAGCUGGAAACAACAUGUUCUCUAUCAGCAAACACAACGUCAUGUGGAUAAAAAAAUAACACCUCAUUUGUAAAUAUGUGGUCAGCAGUAACUUUUCCAAACAUGGUGAGCACCGUGUUGCUACAGAAUCAAUACAGCGCUGCACUCAACAUGCUCUUUGAGAAACGGCCAGGUUUCCUCUUCCUUGUUCAAAAUCUAACAGAGUGCUGCCUCUCCAAUGAGAUUUAAAGGGUUGUGACCAGCAGUUUGCACCAAGCUCAAUUCACCCAGAAAUUAUUCUCAAAAACAACAGAAAACAGAUUGUCUGAGUGCAACAUGGAGUCCAAAUAGUUUCGUCCCCGACAAGAUCCACUGGAUGGAUUCAUACUCAGGGAGUCCAGCUGAUCUCUCUGCUGGCUAACAUUCAGAGAUGACCACCGGGUAGAGGUGAGGGAGGGCUGUCGUUUUCAGGAGUGUUGCUUGGUAUUAAUGAGGAGAUGCACUCGUUCUCCAUCACUAUCAGCUCUGCCUAAUACUUCUCUCUGAGCCUGUCAAGCACCUGGAGUGUUCAGACGCUCACCUCUGGAGACAUCAGUUGUCAAGUGAUCACAAUGAAGUCGUCAUUUUGAGAACAAGUCAACAACAUAAGAAUACGUUUUUCAUUUUUACAAGGAAAAAGGCUAAAAUUUCAAGAUUAGAUUGAAUUAUCAGGAAAACAUAUAUAAAUAAAGCUUAAAAAAAGUUAUCACAAAAACCCUUUAAUGUCAAGAGUAAACUCUCUACAAGUUAAAAGGUCGUAAUUAAAGAAAUAAAUGAGACCCUUAGAAGAGGUGAUUAUAAAACUGAGCUUUCAUUCUGUAAAAAAGAAGUUGUACUUCAUUCAGAAUGUCAGAAGAAAUUGUAGUACAAGCUGUAGUUUUAUAAAUAGAAUAUUUCAGCAGGGCAUCUGCAGGACUGAAACCAGCUGGUCAAAGUCUAUAACUUUAUUGACAGCGGCUCUGCAUUAAUCAGUAAAGGUACUUCUAACAGUCUGCACAUGACUUUAGCUAAAAAACUGAAAUCUUUAGUACACUUCUGCAGUGUUCACUAAAUCUGCCUCAUAUAACAUCAUUUAAUGUGUUUGAGGGUUAAAUCAGCAGGACAAGAAGGCUCAAAUUAUAUAUGAAGUGCAGGAAAUUAUUGACAUUUCUGUGACAUUAUUGUCAGCUUAAUAAUUCCAAGUUACAUGAUCUGGACACAUACACCACUGUUCAAAAGUUUGGAGUCACCUAGAAAUGUCCUUAUUGGUAAAAAAAAAAGCAUUUUUUUUCAGUGAAGAUAACAUUAAAUGAAUGAUAAAUCCAGUGUAGACAUUGUUAAUGUGGUAAAUGACUAUUCUAGCUGGAAACAGCUGAUUUUUAAUGGAAUAUCUCCAUAGGGGUACAGAGGAACAUUU